rnacentral:rRNA from 1 species
UACGUAGGGGGCAAGCGUUGUCCGGAUUUAUUGGGCGUAAAGAGCGUGUAGGCGGCUUGGUAGGUCUUGCGUCAAAACCUGAGGCUCAACCUCAGUUCGCGUGGGAAACCAUCUAGCUAGAGUCCGGAAGAGGAGAACGGAAUUCCCAGUGUAGCGGUGAAAUGCGCAGAUAUUGGGAAGAACACCAGCGGCGAAAGCGCGCUACUGGGCCAUUACUGACACUCAUGGACGAAAGCUAGGGGAGCGAAUGGG